CUUCAACAAGCAGGUUAGGCAGUGAUGAGCACUGCAGGCAGGAUACAGCUGGCCUCUGCGAGAUAGUCCAGUGUAAGGAGGGGCGGACUGAGGCAGGGGAAGCUAAGCCUCUCUUAUCAGGAGAGACUAGCUUGCACUAUCAGGGGACCGACAGUCACCAGGCCGACCCAUCCCCCCAUCAAUGGAGGGAAAGGAGAUCCAGAAGGGUUUGCCUGGCUUCAUAGAGGCACCUAGCAUUAUUUAUUCUGUACCAAAAUUCAAGCACGUGUAAACAGCAAAUAGUCCCGCCAAGAGGGACUUGCUGGAGGCAGAAGACUGUGGGCCAGGCUAGCUGGACACGAGCUUCUGGAGAGUCUACCAUCUCCACCUCUCAGCACUGUGAUUACUGAGGUACACAUAGGAUGCAAUUAAAGGUCUGGUUGUGGCUUCAGAAGCAGAGGUGAGGCGUGUCCCCAAACCCUCCCCUUGCCUCGUGAAGGGGAAAAAGCAAGGAUGCACACUGUCUCUUACAGACAUCUGAAACAGAUCGCGUCCUCCCUCGGCUUUCAGGGUUUCUCAGUUCCCUCCUCUCACCCCGAGAGCUGUAAUUGCCAAAACAGACAGAUUAGCACAAUUUCGGCCUGUAGUGUCCCCGGACAGAGCAUGGCUGGCCCUGCGGACUCUGCAUGCUGGGAGGCACAUUCUUUGCAUAGGAUCUGGAGUUGGGGCGAUGCAACUGGGAUGUGCGGUGCCAAGAUGCAAUGCGAAGCAGUUGGGAAGAUGUAAUUCUCUGAUAGAAGCCAUUUGCCAGAAAUCCACCUACCUCUGCCUCCCAAGUGCUGGGAUUAAAGGCGUGCGCCACCACUGCCCGGCUCAUCCUGAACAUUUCAACUGUGUGUGCUCCAAUGCAGAUGUCCAUGACAAACCUGGAGGAGGACAAGUGAAAGUAUUUUAUAAAGGAGUGGGUAAUACAAUCAAUCACUUUAUUAAACGUUUCUACUUGGACGAAGAUGGAAGUUUAAUUUUCAAGGUACCCGUAUACUCUGUUGACACGUUGCCACACAGCAGGAUGCUCUGCUGAUCUCCUCAGCCCUGAGUUAAUUUGGGACCAUUCCUCUCAGCAUAACAGUAAACAGUGAUUAAUUUUCAUGACAUUGUGAAGUUGAUGAUGUCACUCAAGCAUGAUGACAGCUGGUCAAUAGGCCACAAGUUCCCCUUGUUGUCAUUCCCACAUUCUGGGAAGCCAAGGCAGAGAAGGACAUGUGAGACUGGGCAGGCUUCAGGGGUCUGAACCAACUCUAGCCCAGCUGUCAUCUGUGGGAAGUGGCUUUUGGUUGACCAGUGGGACUUCCAGUGUCAGCACGUGCAUUGUGUCAGCAGCUCAGACUCUGCACCGAGGGGCCCCUGUCCUCAGCCAUCCUUCAUCUUGGGAAAACUCUCUGGUGUAAAGAGCAGGGCUUUAGUGGGGAGGUGGGCUGUGGCCUCAGGAAAGCAGGUGGUUGGAUGCUUGAGCAGCAAUCUGGUAAGGAAGGAGAAGACUCUGAGAAUUCACCAGUGGGAGGUAAUCCGGUUGGAACCUCAUCCUUGUUCUCAUAACUUUUACCUGGCAGGGCCUUGCACCACAAUCUCCCUUAAUAAAGGGGCAUUACCAUGCCAUGGCCCAAC